rnacentral:lncRNA from 1 species
CUACAUUCCGUGGCAGCCUGGCUCCAACAUCCCAGGGAAUUGUGUCACUCCCAUUGAGCAGCUGUGGGGCCCUCUCCCACAUGGCCCAGGUCCACCACUCUGUCAAAGGUCGCACAGCCCAGACAAAAACAGGACACAGCAGUGUGUGAAUGAGCCGGGCUUUCUCCUUCCCUCCACGUAAUAGAAGGUGCCUGAGGUUGUUGAAACACAGUCCAUUUCUCCUGGGAAUGACAAGAAUUUGAGGGAUGCUGACUUUCAAGGAAUACUGCAUGACAGGCAUCAAGAUAAACCUGAUGAAGAAAACAUAGGCCAGAAUCUGGGAAUCGGGAGCAAAGUAAUACAGCUUCGGGGACAGGCACGUAAUGAGGUCAUGAUGUAGGAGACUCCCUGCAGGACUGGCGGCCCCUGUUCCCUGGGUUGUUCUGGCUCUUUCAGGGUAAAAUAAUUAUUUAGUUCCAAUCAUCUUUGUACACAAAGAUUUAUAUGUUAACAAGCUGAAUUCCUGCUUCAUCUGGAGGACUGCACAGUGUAUCUGAGAGAGGAUUUUCAGGAGGCCAGAAAAUCAAGCUGGAGGGAUUUUCAGCGUGUUGGGAGAUUGCUACCUGUUUUAAGUCAGGCCAUUGCCACGUCUUUUUCCCCACCUUGGAGACUUCAGCUGUUUUCCUUCACUAAUAUUUCCAAAACACACAACAACAGUUGGCAUCGCUCGCAUAUAAACAGCUCUUCCAUGUCACUGAGAAAACGAGCAAGAUCCAGGGAGGAAAAAUGGAUACAGGAUAUAAAUAGAAAAUCCUCAAAACAGGAAUUUCAAAAUGUCAACAAACAGGCAAAACUUUCUUUCAACAGCGCUAUUAUGACUGGGUCUCGCUAUGUUGCCCAAGCCAUUCUGGAGCUCCUGCGCUUAAGUGAUCCUCCUGCCUCAGCCUCCCAAGUAACUGGAAUUAUAAAUGUGAGCCACUGUGCCCAGCAAUUACAAAAUUUUUGGAAUGCAAUUGGGAAGUACAGCUGAAAAACUUCAGCAACGUGGGCUGUUUGAUUGUACAAUCGCACUUCUUGGAAUUUAUCCUACAGAAAUCAGUAGUCAAGUUCACAAAAACUGACAAUAGCCAUUACAGAGAAGCAGAAGAAAGGGAAAUAAAAACAUUCAAACCUACCAACAGGAGAUUGGACAAAUAAAUCAUGUUAUAACUAUACAAUGGGCUAUUAUGUAACCAUUAAAAUGAUCAUCUAUUCUA